rnacentral:rRNA from 1 species
CGUUCCCGGGCCUUGUACACACCGCCCGUCACACCACGAAAGUGGGCAACACCCGAAGCCGGUGGCCUAACCCUUGUGGAGGGAGCCGUCGAAGGUGGGGACUCGCGAUUGGGGUG